CUGAUGACUGGGGUGAAGUCGUAACAAGGUAGCCGUACCGGAAGGUGUGGCUGGAUCACCUCCUUU
rnacentral:rRNA from 1 species